UGAAACAUGCACUGGAAUUAU
rnacentral:piRNA from 1 species